ensembl:snRNA U12 U12 minor spliceosomal RNA
UAAUCUUAGACUUAUGAGUAAGGAAAAUGACAAUUCAGAGUGAUGUCCAAAUCCUCACUGCUAAUGUGAGAUGAAUUUUUGAGUGGGUAAAGGUUGAGUCUAAGGUGACCUGCCUACUUUGUGGGAUGCCUGGGAGUUGUGAUCUUUCCC